GACGAACGCUGGCGGCGUGCUUAACACAUGCAAGUCGAACGGAAAGGCUCCAGCUUGCUGGAGUACUCGAGUGGCGAACGGGUGAGUAACACGUGGGUAAUCUGCCCUGCACUCUGGGAUAAGCCUGGGAAACUGGGUCUAAUACUGGAUAUGACCUUUCUCCUUAUGGGGUUUGGUGGAAAGUUUUUCGGUGUCGGAUGAGCCCGCGGCCUAUCAGCUUGUUGGUGGGGUGAUGGCCUACCAAGGCGACGACGGGUAGCCGGCCUGAGAGGGUGAUCGGCCACAUUGGGACUGAGAUACGGCCCAGACUCCUACGGGAGGCAGCAGUGGGGAAUAUUGCACAAUGGGCGGAAGCCUGAUGCAGCGACGCCGCGUGAGGGAUGACGGCCUUCGGGUUGUAAACCUCUUUCAGCAGGGACGAAGCGUAAGUGACGGUACCUGCAGAAGAAGCACCGGCUAACUAUGUG
rnacentral:rRNA from 1 species